rnacentral:tRNA from 1 species
GGGGAUUUAGCUCAGUGAUAGAGCGCUUGCCUAGCAGGUGCAAGGCCCUGGGUUCGAUCCCCAGCUCCG